CUCAGGAUGAACGCGUAGCGGCAGGCCUAACACAUGCAAGUCGAGGGGCAGUCACGGGAGUAGCAAUACAACUGGUGGCGACCGGCGCACGGGUGAGUAACGCGUAUGCAACCUACCUAUCAGAGGGGAAUAACCCGGCGAAAGUCGGACUAAUACCGCAUAAAACAGGGGCACCGCAUGGUGAUAUUUGUUAAGAAAUUCGCUGAUAGAUGGGCAUGCGUUCCAUUAGGUAGUUGGUGAGGUAACGGCUCACCAAGCCGACGAUGGAUAGGGGAACUGAGAGGUUGGUCCCCCACACUGGUACUGAGACACGGACCAGACUCCUACGGGAGGCAGCAGUGAGGAAUAUUGGUCAAUGGGCGGGAGCCUGAACCAGCCAAGUCGCGUGAAGGAAAAGAAGGAUCUAUGGUUCGUAAACUUCUUUUGCAGGGGAAUAAGGUGCAGGACGUGUCCUGUUUUGUAUGUACCCUGAGAAUAAGGAUCGGCUAACUCCGUGCCAGCAGCAGC
rnacentral:rRNA from 1 species